AGGAAUUGGUUCACAGGACGGUACCACCGCUUAAGAUCACCUCUCUUCCACACUGAGGAUCAGGUUGAGCAGUGGCUGAUGGAGAUGAAGUGAAGAGCGGAGCUUUUGUCAUAGGUUAAAUGAAUGAACUCUUGGAUACAUGUCUUCAUACAUGUAAUCAGAUUAUGUUAUUCCGCUGCGUACUCUUAGGUUUUAUGUUCUUUCAGUUAAGCCAGUUUUAUCUGAACCUACAAGUCUGUUCGAGUCUUGUGACUAAACAUCAGGUGUAUUAUAAAUUUUCCCUUCUUUAAACAAAUUUUAGUUCGAUCC